CUUUUCUCCAGUUCGUCCACCUCUCCAAGUUCACAUUCUCGUGCUUCGUAUCUGACUUAGCGGCAGGAUUAAGUGUGCUGCUGGAUUCAGGGACCGUGAUGGUGCAGACUUUCUUCCUGUAUCUGAGACCCCAGUCUCAGUAGACUUCAGGAUAUGGUGUU
rnacentral:lncRNA from 1 species